AUGAACGCUAGCUACAGGCUUAACACAUGCAAGUCGAGGGGCAGCAUGAACUUAGCUUGCUAAGUUUGAUGGCGACCGGCGCACGGGGUGAGUAACACGUAUCCAACCUGCCGAUGACUCGGGGAUAGCCUUUCGAAAGAAAGAUUAAUACCCGAUGGCAUAGUUCUUCCGCAUGGUAGAACUAUUAAAGAAUUUCGGUCAUCGAUGGGGAUGCGUUCCAUUAGGUUGUUGGCGGGGUAACGGCCCACCAAGCCUUCGAUGGAUAGGGGUUCUGAGAGGAAGGUCCCCCACAUUGGAACUGAGACACGGUCCAAACUCCUACGGGAGGCAGCAGUGAGGAAUAUUGGUCAAUGGACGAGAGUCUGAACCAGCCAAGUAGCGUGAAGGAUGACUGCCCUAUGGGUUGUAAACUUCUUUUAUACGGGAAUAAAGUGAGGCACGUGUGCCUUUUUGUAUGUACCGUAUGAAUAAGGAUCGGCUAACUCCGUGCCAGCAGCCGCGGUAAUACGGAGGAUCCGAGCGUUAUCCGGAUUUAUUGGGUUUAAAGGGAGCGUAGGCGGACGCUUAAGUCAGUUGUGAAAGUUUGCGGCUCAACCGUAAAAUUGCAGUUGAUACUGGGUGUCUUGAGUACAGUAGAGGCAGGCGGAAUUCGUGGUGUAGCGGUGAAAUGCUUAGAUAUCACGAAGAACUCCGAUUGCGAAGGCAGCCUGCUGGACUGUA
rnacentral:rRNA from 1 species